AUUGAACGCUGGCGGCAGGCCUAACACAUGCAAGUCGAACGGUAACAGGAAGCAGCUUGCUGCUUCGCUGACGAGUGGCGGGCGGGUGAGUAAUGUCUGGGAAGCUGCCUGAUGGAGGGGGAUAACUACUGGAAACGGUAGCUAAUACCGCAUAAUUUCGCAAGACCAAAGAGGGGGACCUUCGGGCCUCUUGCCAUCGGAUGUGCCCAGAUGGGAUUAGCUUGUUGGUGGGGUAACGGCUCACCAAGGCGACGAUCCCUAGCUGGUCUGAGAGGAUGACCAGCCACACUGGAACCGAGACACGGUCCAGACUCCUACGGGAGGCAGCAGUGGGGAAUAUUGCACAAUGGGCGCAAGCCUGAUGCAGCCAUGCCGCGUGUAUGAAGAAGGCCUUCGGGUUGUAAAGUACUUUCAGCGGGGAGGAAGGGAGUAAAGUUAAUACCUUUGCUCAUUGACGUUACCCGCAGAAGAAGCACCGGCUAACUCCGUG
rnacentral:rRNA from 1 species